CGAACGCCCUCUCCGGAGGGAGUGGCAGACGGGUGAGUAACGCGUGGGAACCUACCUAGUGGUACGGAAUAACUCGGGGAAACCCGUGCUAAUACCGUAUGUGCCCGAAAGGGGAAAGAUUUAUCGCCAUUAGAUGGGCCCGCGUCGGAUUAGCUUGUUGGUGAGGUAAUGGCUCACCAAGGCGACGAUCCGGAGCUGGUCUGAGAGGAUGAUCAGCCACACUGGGACUGAGACACGGCCCAG
rnacentral:rRNA from 1 species